rnacentral:rRNA from 1 species
UACGUAGGUGGCAAGCGUUGUCCGGAAUUAUUGGGCGUAAAGCGCGCGCAGGCGGCCUCUUAAGUCUGAUGUGAAAGCCCCCGGCUCAACCGGGGAGGGCCAUUGGAAACUGGGAGGCUUGAGUAUAGGAGAGAAGAGUGGAAUUCCACGUGUAGCGGUGAAAUGCGUAGAGAUGUGGAGGAACACCAGUGGCGAAGGCGACUCUUUGGCCUAUAACUGACUCUGAGGCGCGAAAAGCGUGGGGAGCAAACAGG